rnacentral:lncRNA from 1 species
AUCUACAACGUCCAAUAUAAGCUUCACAGAUUCAUCUGCCCGCUAAUAAAUACUUAGAUUACUAAGAGUCUGUUUGGUAUUGAGACAUGUCUAAUGUUAAUAGAUAAAAUGUAGUUAAGGAAAGUAUAUAUGAAAGUGCUUUUGUGUUUUAUCGAAAAUAUAUUAUAAUCAACUCAUUGUGAUAUGUAAGUACGAUGUUACAUAGAAAAUAAACAAAAUAUUUGUCAUCUCCUUC